CAUUAUUAUCUGGUACACAAACUCAAACUCACAUGGAGAGUACAAAAAUCUACUAGCACACACUGGUAACAUGUGCAAGUGCAGAUGCCAUCGUACUUAUAAUCCAGAAUCCAUUGAUGAAGGCGAUAAAUUAUUUGACUCCAUAUGUUUUGAUCCUGUUUCUGUUGACGAGGGAUUUGUCGCCACUGGCGCUAAAUUUACGAGACAUGAUAACGUCAUAUACCUCCAACUUAGGCAAGCGCGAUGAUUAAAUGGUCGGUUAACUGAAACUACUAAAAAGUGGACAAAUUUGAAACGCUGUAGUUCUGCCAACACAAAGCCAGUUUUCAAUUUCAAACGAAACGAUUAUUUGAAAAUCAAAUUGGAAGAUAUUAUAUUGCCAGAAAAUGCAGUUGUUACAGGUGUAACAUUGGGAGACUCGGUGCAAGGACGAUAUCUGAACGAUAAUUCAAAUUUCGAUAAAAAACGCGGGAAGAUUACUCAACGGUGUCAAUGUAGUGAAAGGUGAUCUUGUUAACUCGAAUUUCAGGUUCAAAAUUCAAAAGUUUACUGAUUUAUUGUUUUAUUUCAGUACCACAUAUUCAGUGUUUGGUAACUACCAA